CCUGGGUGGCUCAGUCGGUUGAGCGUCCGACUUUGGCUCGGGUCAUGAUCUUGCUGUUUGUGGGUUCGAGCCCCCCCAUCAGGC
rnacentral:tRNA from 1 species